CUUCUUAAAUGUAAUAUGUCCUGUCCUGCUAUUUUAUUGUAUUGUAUUGUAUUCUUCUAAGAAUCUAGUUACUAGAGAAGAAAAUAGCACAGACAGAGACAGACAGACAGCCCGUCCAACAGAGAGAGAGAGAGAGAGAGAGAGUUCAAAGGAGAGGCCAGGUGUCAGUGAUCAGUCUGAUCACAGCAAUCAACACAAAAAGCAGAUUGAACUGUUGAACCCGGUUUCGCGCCUCUUCUCCGCAGUUUGAGCGGCGCGCUGCUCUCCGGCUUCAGUGACUCACGAAACGCCACAGAGGGAACGACAGCCUCCUGACAUGACAGCUCUUCUUGAGAGAAUCAUGUCAGCCCACAGACAACCGGUUGACCUGUGAGUCUUCAAGCAGUAAUGAUGACUAUGCCUGCCUUAAGUUCCAGUUUCCUGAACAUCAUGUCGGCAUGAGAUUCUGUCCCCACCUGUCUUCAGUCUGGACCCAAUGAUUCGGACACCAGUCUUGUCGAGGCUAAAUUGAGAUCAAGCAUUGACGGGAAAACACCCAAAGUCCAUCACUCAUGCACCGAGGAUCUGGCUGAUUACUGGAAAUUAGGAAGAUUGUUCUUUAUCUGCACUGUCACUUCUGGUAAAUAUUUAUGGACCUUUUGCGGUAUGUUUUGCUUUGACUUAUCAACUGAUGGUGAAUAAUUGGUUGAUUUUGAAAAUGUACAUUAAAUAAAAUGUUUUAAAAUCAA